rnacentral:misc_RNA from 1 species
CUCUUUAGCGACGUCAUAUGACAGAAAUAAUAGACGGGCCUUAUCGGUGGCAGUCGUCCGGCAACGCAAGCGGUGCAUAUUGCCCGCAACAGAAACGUCAUUGAGCCGUCUCAAAAGAUUUACAGGCACGUGACCAGUAUCGCCACUCUUCGUGGCGCGGCGGGACAUCAUCGAACCUGGCAGCGCAGACGACGUGGUUAGAGAUGGGACCGGCCGGAGCCGGACUGUUCCGACCGCGGAUGUUCAAGUGCUCGAGCGAUGCCGAGCACGACAAAU